UACGGAGGGUGCGAGCGUUGUCCGGAAUCACUGGGCGUAAAGGGCGCGUAGGUGGCUCGUGAAGCGUGCGGUGAAAGUCCGAGGCUCAACCUCGGAUCGGCCGUGCGGACUCGCGGGCUCGAGCGUUGUAGAGGCGGGUGGAAUUCCGGGUGUAGCGGUGGAAUGCGUAGAGAUCCGGAGGAACACCUGUGGCGAAAGCGGCGCACUGGACCACAACUGACGCUGAGGCGCGAAAGCUAGGGGAGCAAACAGG
rnacentral:rRNA from 1 species